GCGCUGACGAGUGGCGGACGGGUGCGUAACGCGUAGGAAUCUGCCCUGAAGAGGGGGAUAACCCGGGGAAACUCGGGCUAAUACCGCAUAUACUCUGAGGAGGAAAGGAUGGGACCUUAGGGCCAUUCGCUUUAGGAUGAACCUGCGUCGGAUUAGCUAGUUGGUGGGGUAAAGGCCUACCAAGGCGAGGAUCUGUAGCUGGUCUGAGAGGACGAACAGCCACACUGGGACUGAGACACGGCCCAGACUCC
rnacentral:rRNA from 1 species